GACAGAGGCCUCGAGCGUUUAGGCGGAAUCACUGGGCUUAAAGCGUGUGUAGGCGGAUCGUUAAGUGCCUUGUGAAAUCCCACGGCUUAACUGUGGAAACGGCUGGGCAUACUGGCGGUCUUGAGCCAUCUAGGGGCGACUGGAACAAACGGUGGAGCGGUGAAAUGCGUAGAUAUCGUUUGGAACGCCAAAGGUGAAAACAGGUCGCUGGGG
rnacentral:rRNA from 1 species